UACGUAGGCAGCAAGCGUUGUUCGGAGUUACUGGGCGUAAAGAGUGCGUAGGUGGUGCCCUAAGUCUGUUGUGAAAUCUCCCGGCUUAACUGGGAGGGUGCGGUGGAAACUGGGGUGCUUGAGUGUGGGAGAGGUAAGCGGAAUUCCUGGUGUAGCGGUGAAAUGCGUAGAGAUGUGGAGGAACACCGAUGGCGAAGGCAGCCCCCUGGGCCAACACUGACGCUCAGGCACGAAAGCGUGGGGAGCAAACGGG
rnacentral:rRNA from 1 species